ACUUUUUCUAUUAAACAUUCACAUCCUCUCCCAUUCAGAUGACCCCAGAAUGUGAAAUUUUAAAGUGUUACCACAUAUUACAAGUUAGUAACACUGCUUUUUAGCUAUUCUCACAGUGAGCAGCACAAAAGUUGUACAUCAGGAUACUCAAUUGCAGCAAAAGAUAGCAAAUGUAUUUAGAAACCUUUUUAGAAACACAUCCCCUCGCAAGAAAGAGCUGGAGGGUAUUCCACAUAAAGAGGCUGGAACACUGCUUAAUGGGCAAGGGAUCCCAGGAUCCCUGUUCAGCUUCUUUACAGAUUUGCCUUGCAUUUUUGGGAAGGCUUGGCCCCCAGCCUCACCAUCAACUAAUCUGCAGGAACGAUCAGAUGCAAAUUAAAUGAAAUUGCAUUAACUUGAGAUGAAAGAGAGUUCAUUUGCAUUUCUUCUCAUUGGCCUCAAGUGGGAACAUGCAGACACGCAUACCACCCCCACAUGCAGGUCAGCAUAUGCAAGGUAACUUGCUGAAACAAAGCAGCAUUACUCUUACUUCCUUUACUUCCCUUGCCUUCCUCCUUGGUAAUCUUCAUUGUUCCUUUGAACCACCACCACCACUCUAGUUCCUUCUCCUCCCAUCAUUCCCUUGAAGGAAAGGGGCAAGACACGUAAUGCUUGGGAAUGGAUUUGUUUAUCUCAAGAAUAAAUCAUGGGCACGGGGCUUGUCCUGCUUGUCUGUUUUCCCUCCCUCUUGUUGGAGAGGAUGUUUGCAUGGACAGCUGACAGUGGGAAGUGGAGCAAGCCACCGCAUUCAGAAAUACUUGUUUUCAAUUACAGGGUUGCGAUUUUUUCCUCCUCUCUACCACCCCAAGCAUGGCAGCCCCGCUGAGACAGCCCUCAUAGCCCAAUUGCACCCUCAUGAAUAUCCCUGCCAUCUGUGUCACUCAUCCUCCCCCAAUGAGGAUGCUGAGAUGAGGGACAUUAACCCACAUGGCACAUUAGCACAAGGACCAGGCUAGGCUUCUCACCAAAACACCAAAAGGGAAAUUGAGCUACCUGGUUUCCUGGGCAUGCAGCAUCACGCAGGCUGCAAGAUCACACUCCCUUAAACUACUGCACUGCUCUUCCUCCAGAGACCAAAACCAACCCCAUUGCAGAAGAGCCUACAGGUUGCCACUUAGGGCAAACUUCCCAACAGCAAUAUCCUCCAGUAUGGAGGAUUACACACAGGUCUUUCAUUUUCCCUGCUGACUACUGUAGAGACUGUAAUAGCCCC
rnacentral:lncRNA from 1 species